GUCAACUUAAUUUACUUGAAAAAGGUUGCAAAUGUUGGAAUUCGCUAAAUUCGUGUUUGUUUUCUUGAAGGUUUUUGCCAACGAAGACAAACAGGGAGAUGAAGAUGAAACACAGGGACAUAAAAGAGUUGCUUAUGGAAAUGAUAAAGAGAAGGGAGAAGGCAAUUAAAGCAGGGGAAGAGAGCAAUGAGGACUUGUUGGACAUACUUGUGGAAUCCAAUAUCAGAGAAAUGGAAGCAAAGAAUAUUGGGAUGAGCAUUGAGGAUGUGAUUGAGGAAUGCAAGCUGUUUUACUUAGCUGGCCAAGAGACCACUUCGGUCUUACUGGUGUGGACUAUGGUUUUAUUAGCAAGGUAUCCCGAUUGGCAAAGUAAAGCAAGAGAGGAGGUUUUGCAUGUUUUGGGUGACAGUAAACCUGACGCUGAUGGCCUUAAUCGUCUCAAAGUUGUAAGUCCCUAGCAUGUCUUUUGAAGGUCCGAUCAAUGAGGUCGACAACUCAAAAACUUUGUUUCUUUUUUCGCUAAUUCUACAGGUAACAAUGAUAUUGUACGAGGUUCUAAGGCUGUACCCACCGGUGGUUGAGCUAGAACGUUCCGUUCCAAAAGAAAUAAAACUGGGGAAUUUGUUGUUACCAGUAGGAACAGAAGUUUCGGUUCCGAUCCUGCUGAUCCACCAUGACAAAGAUCUUUGGGGCGAUGACGCACGGGAAUUUAAGCCAGAGCGGUUCGCGGAAGGGGUUUCCAAAGCAACAAAGAGUCAAGUCACGUUUCUGCCAUUCGGAUGGGGUCCUAGGAUCUGUAUUGGCCAAAAUUUUGCUAUGAUGGAAGCCAAAAUGGCGAUGGCUAUGAUUCUCCAACGCUUCUGGUUCGAGCUUUCCCCUUCCUAUGCUCACUCUCCUUACGGCAGGGCAACUCUUCGUCCACAGCAUGGUGCACAGAUAAUUUUACAUAAACUUGGCUGUAAUUGAAUUGUUAUGUAAACAAAUCUUUGUGAAAACAUAGCGUUUUAGUUUAUCGUCAAAGUCCGGUGUCUGUAAUGGUACAAAUUCGAUGCAUGAAUAGUAAAGUUUGAGAUGUUUGGUGAAGUCCGAAAUAAUAUGCAGAAAUUGAGUGUGGUAAUUAUCAAUCAAAUAAUUCGGUACAAAGACUUACAUGGAAAUUAAAGCAGGGGGAGUUGAAAAUGACUACUCUGCUUUGGGCAUCAAUUUAGAAAGAUUUAAAGUACAAAUGUGUUAUUAGUUAAGGGAUUUGUUUUAAAGAGGGAAUGACAAUUAAACCUCAUGGUUGAUUUGUGGAAGGGAACCGAUGAUGGGAUGAUUAUUCUUAGUGGUAAAAAAAACUAUUGUGGAGGUUAUUAUACUUGUUAUCAUCGGCUUAAAAUUCGAAUGGGUUCAAGUCGGAUUAUAUCGAGCUUGUAAGAUGAGUUCACGGAUCAAAUUUGCAUAAUAAAAAUACUUAAAUGAAAAAAAUUUCUAUUUUAGAGGGACCAGAGCCCCUACCAAUUCCCGGCUCAGCUACUAAACAAUACCCAUAUCAUAUAAAUAAAUACCACCAUAAAAAAAACUCAAAGAAAAACACUGACAAAUGAUAAAUAGAUAGAUGUUGGAUAAGUGUCCAAAAUAUGAUUUAAGUGAAGAUACAUGGGGUAGGUGUCACGGAAAUGUGAAUACAAGAAUACUACUAAUGGGAUGUGUACAGUUGAAUGUAGGGAGCAAAAAGAGGAGUGAAUCAUUUUGGUAACAUUGGGACAAGAAACAUAAUGAACAAAAUGGAAGGAGAGGAAGCUAGUAAAAGAAAUUUUUUGGGUCAUAUAAUUUGUUUGGCAUAUAUUUUUAUAAUUUUUAAAUAUCAUUUUGGACUUGAAUUAUAAUUUUUUUAUAUAUUAUCUUAAAAUUGUAUAAAUUUUAAGGAGUUAAAACAAAAUUAUUCUAUUUUUAGAUGGUUAAAGUAGAGAUGAUAAUGGGUUGAGCUAUUCGGCCCAGCCUGACGAUCCACCCGAAAAAUAGGAAGGUUUGGGUAAAAAUAUAGGCUUGAAAUAUGAAUUUGAGCAAAAAAAGAGGCCCGUUUAGAAAAUGGGCCGAGCCUCGGGUAAAACCUUUUGGGUCUAGACCUGACCUAAAUUAUAUAUUAAAUAUAUAUAUUUUUAUUUUUAAUCAAAUAUACUUUUGUUUUAUUAUUAAUUUGGUUAUUAUUUUAGUUCUAAUUUGUUUCAAUUUUAAUAUAACUACUUUUUAUUAUAUUUUCAAUUUGUGCAUUGUUUUAAGAAUUAUUUUAGUCUCAUUAUUUAUUUAUUUUUUAUUUUAAUAUUUGUUUUAAAAUUUUUUAUUUAUUGAAAUAAGCUAAAAAAAUUAAUAUGGGUUGGACCAGACCGGGCUCGGGCCUAGUAAUUUUCUUUUGGGCCGGACUUAAACAAAUUUUUAAGCCCAUAUUUUGAAUUGGGUCCUACACUAGAAAAUGGACCUAAAAUUUUGUAUUACCUUUAGGUCAGAGCUAUCCUCGUUUUGCAUUUCUUUGAGAUUCAGCCUUAUUUACUUUUGAUUGCCCACUCAAUAGAGGGUUGAGUAGAAAUAUUUGGUGAAGCAAGCUAAGCUAUCAAUCAAGGUGUGCAUAAUUAUUUAAAUGUAAUUCUAAUAUUAAAAUAAAAUUUUUAUUAAUAUAGUAUCAACAAGCAUUAAAUGUAAUCAUCAUAUACUAUUAAAUUUUCAAUAAGAGAAAACAAGCUUGAACUUUAAAAACGAUGUUACUAAAAACAUUAUCACAAAUCUUGAAAUAUAAAAAAUACUUUUUAAUAUAAUAAAAAAAUAAUUUUAAAACCGAGAUGAAUAAAAUUCUAAUUUUAAUUAAUGAUACCAACAACAAAUCAAUAUUUAAAUUAAAAUUUAUCUUAAUUUAAUAUAAUAAAAUUGGACUUGAAUAUUGAAUUUUUGAGUCUUGGGCAAAGUAGAGGUGCUCAUGGGCCGGGUUGGGUCGGGUUUGGGAAAAAUUUCGGCCCGCAUCCUAGGCUCGGGCUCGGCCCGACCCAAAUAUGGGCCUAAAAUUUUGUCUAGGCCUAGCCCGGCCCGGCCCAACUCAUUUUUUUUAAUAAACACCAAAAAUUUAUUUUGAAAAUAAAAAAAUAAAAAAAGUAUUUUAAAAAUAUUUUAAAAUUUUUAAAAAAUAUAUAUAUUUAUUAUAUAUUCGGGCCGGGCCAGGCCCGAGCCAAAAAAGUGGCGCCCAAGGCCCGGCCUGUUUUCUAAACGGGACUCAUUUUUUACCCAAACCCAUAUUUCGGGCCUAUAUUUCUACCCGAAUCUCUCAUAUUUAGGGCGAACCGUCGGGCCGGACCGGGCCGCCCGGCCAUGAACACCUCUAGGACAAAGUCACUCAAUGAAUGCAUGGAAAGAAAUAAUGCAACUUGGUGAUAGCUUUUGUUGGAGUUAUAUGCUUUUUUUUUACGUAGUGGAACUUUCGGUGGAUUUUCAAGUUUCAUGAACUUUAUACUCUAUGCUUUACGUGAAAAAAAAAAUUCAUUGGACUUAAAAGUCUACCAAAAGUUUCACUAAAAAAAAAACCAUUGCUACAAGAUUACAACAUAAAGUUACAAUAAGAGCUUAUAACUCAACAAAGGCUAUCAAUAAAUAAUCUCAAACAAAUUAAAGAGAAAUGUUGAGAGUACCACUCGAAUAGUGAUUAACUUUAAAAAUUGAAAACCCAAAGUUAUAAUAUCCCAAACGAAAUCAAACCAUAAACAUUAAAUUUUUCGAGUCUACUAGAUACUGCAAAAAAUUCAGCUCCAACAGACACCAAAUGAACCUAUGAUCGAAGAAAAUACGAAAACUAGUCUAGCUAAAUCAAGCUGCCAAACUUACUUUUUAUCUUAUCUUUAAUUUGCUGUGAAAUUCAAAACUAAGGUUUUGUACUUAGAACAACUUUCAAAAAGUUAAUUUUGAAAAAUGGAUUGAAUUUUCAAAAUAGAUGAUAUUUUAUUGUGUUAAAAUUUUAUUCGUUGUUUGAAAAAAAAUUUAAAUCAUUUUCUUAGAAUUAUUUUUAGUGAAACAAACAUAUCAUAAAUAUAUUUGUUAUAAAAUAUUUAUAUUAAUAUUUUCUUUUAACAAUUAAAAUAUAUUUUGUGAUAAGGUAUAUUUUAUAAUAAUUAAUAUCAUAUAUACUUAAUAAUAAAUCAUGUCUAAUUAAAAUUUAAUUUCAAUUAAAUAUAUUAAUAAAGCUACAUAUAAUCAUAUUUUAUAUAAUAAAAAUAUUAAUAUAAAUAUUUUUUUAAUAAUAUAUUAAAGAAUAUUUAAAAUUUAAAUUUAUUAUUACUAAGAUUAAUUAUUAAAAUAAAAAUGUAAUGUUAAAUAAUUUAUCCAAUGAUAAGUUAUAUUAAUAAUUUAUUAUAUUAUUAAAUAUAAAUAAUUAAAUAUGUAUGUUUAAUAAUAUUAUGUUAUAAUAUUUAUUAUUAAUAUUUUAAUAUUUUUAAACAACCAUGUUUUAAAGAUGGUGGUGAUGGUGAUGGUGCAGGCCCCCUUGUUACAAUUACAAUAUUUUUAAGUGGGAUGCAUGUAAUAUAUUGUUAGGGUUUUAGAGUGUGUGGUCUUUAAAAGGGUUAAAUUAUAUAUUUAUAUAAUAUGAUUAUUGUUUAUAAAUAUAAUAUUGUAGAUAAACUUUUAUGCAUGUCAAUAUGUAUCCUACUCUGGGGUUAAUAUGUAUUUUUAGAUAUGGAUUCACCUAUAUAAUAGUAUGAAUCCAUCAUGCGGUCUCAUGAAAUAUACAAACACAUAUCGUGCGAACACAAAGUACGAACAAUAAAAAGUACAAAUCAAGACCAAUUGAGUAAUUGAAUAGCAGAUAGGUAAUAAUGACUAUCCCCUCUUGUUUGAAUUUAUUUUAUUUCCAGUGAGUUAUCGUUUAUGAUAAAUUUACAACAAAUGUUUUUAUCAUUAUUUUGUUGGUAAAUGAUAAUAAGAUUAAACUUUACUUUCUUAAGCUCCUUCAAUUCUUUGGACGUUAGCAAGUAAACUUGAGCUUCAGCAUUCCACAAACACCUUAAUUUGAAGACACAGUUCUCCCAUACUAAAAACAACAUGGACGUUUACCUUGUAAUUAGAGAUUUGGGCUCAUUGUUAGGUUAUUAAUGAUACGGGGAUGGAGAGCUUUAAACUGGGUAUGGCUGGCCCCAAAGAGGCUCGAAACGUGCUUGAGACUAGAGGUCCAGGCAAAUUUUUAGGCCCAUUUUUUAGGCCUGGACUGGGCCCGACUCGAAAUAUGAGCUUAAAAAUUUGUCUAAGUUCGGUCCAAAAGAAAAUUGUUAAGCCUAAGCCCGGCCCAUAUUAAAUUUUACAACACCAAAAAACUAUAUAUUUAAUAUAUAUAUUUGAUUAAAAAGUAUAUUUAAUUAAAAAUAAAAAUAUAUAUUUAAUAUAUAAUUCGGGCCGGGCCGAACUCGGGCCAAAAAAGUUUUACUCGGGGCUGGUCCGUUUUCUAAACAGACCUCGUUUUUUUGUCAAAAUCCAUAUUUUAGGCUUAUAUUUUUACCCGAAACUUCCUAUUUUUCGGGUGAACCGUCAGGCCGGACUAGGUAGCCCAACCAAUGAUCACCUCUACUUGAGACAACAGGGUUUUGCAGGGAAUUCUUACAGGUUCGUUUCUGGCGACAUAAAAGAGCUCUUCACUAUAAGCAUACAAACAAGAGCCAAACCUAUGCCUCUUAGUGAUGAUAUUGGGCCUUAUGUUGUUCCUUUUCAACAUCAAACCGUCAAUCAGUAUGGUAUGUUUUUUAAUUUAAUCUGCAAUUUAUGAUAAUUCUUUGCUAUUUAUGUAUGGAAUUUAUUGGGAGGAAAUGCUGGGAAGAAUUCAUUUACGUGGAUUGGUCCAAGAUCAAGGGUGAACAUUACGGACCCGGAAAAAUAAGAGAAAUACUUAACAAAUUUAAUGACUUCCAGAAGGUACGUACCAAUCCACUGCUUAAUUUGCUUGUAAGCGGCCUUGUUAACCUCGAAGGAGACCGAUGGAGCAAGCAUAGAAAAAUCAUAACCCUUCAUUUCAUCAAGAUAAGUUGAAGGUAUAGAAUAGUGAUGGGUACUUAGACUUAAUUUACAGAAAACAUCAUACUUAAAUCUAUGCUUUUCUGAUUUAGAAAUGAUUGGAUGCAGAAUAUGUUGCCAGCAUUUUAUCAAAGUUGUUGUGACAUGUUAAGCAAAUGGGAGAAGAUGGUGUGUACAGAAGGAUACAGUGAGUUAGAUGUGUGGCCUUAUCUUGUAGAUUUGACAAGAGAUGUGAUUUCCCGAUCUGCUUUUGGAAGCAGCUUCGAAGAAGGCAGACGAAUUUUCCAAUUACUAGAGGACCAACUCGUUCUCACAAUCAAAUUAAUACAAACUGUUUACAUUCCAGGAUGGAGGUAACCCUCAACUUAAUUUACUUGAAAAAGGUUGCAAAUGUUGGAAUUGGCUAAAUUCGUGUUUGUUUUCUUGAAGGUUUUUGCCAACAAAGACAAACAGGGAGAUGAAGAUGAAACACAGACAUAAAAGAGUCGCUUAGGGAAAUGAUAAAGAGAAGGGAGAAGGCAAUUAAAGCAGGGGAAGAGAGCAAUGAGGACUUGUUGGACAUACUUGUGGAAUCCAAUAUCAGAGAAAUGGAAGCAAAGAAAAAGGGGAUGAGCAUUGAGGAUGUGAUUGAGGAAUGCAAGCUGUUUUACUUUGCUGGCCAGGAGACCACUUCGGUCUUGCUGGUGUGGACUAUGGUUUUAUUAGCAAGGUAUCCCGAUUGGCAAAGUAAAGCAAGAGAGGAGGUUUUGCAUGUUUUGGGUGACAGUAAACCUGAUGCUGAUGGCCUUAAUCGUCUCAAAGUUGUAAGUCCCUAGCAUGUCUCUUGAAGGUCCGAUCUCUGAGGUCGACAACUCAAAAACUUGGUUUCUUUGUUUCGCUAAUUCUACAGUUAACAAUGAUAUUGUACGAGGUUCUAAGGCUGUACCCACCAGUGAUUGAGCUAGGACGUUCCGUUCCAAAAGAAAUAAAACUGGGAAAUUUGUUGUUACCAGCAGGAACAGACGUUUCGGUUCCAAUCCUGCAGAUCCACCAUGACAAAGAUCUUUAGGGCGACGACGCACGGGAAUUUAAGCCACAGCGGUUCACGGAAGGGGUUUCCUAAGCAACAAAGAGUCAAGUCACGUUUCUGCCAUUCGGAUGGGGUCCUAGGAUCUGCAUUGGCCAAAACUUUGCCAUGAUGGGAACCAAAAUGGCGAUGGCUAUGAUUCUCCAACGCUUCUGGUUCGAGCUUUCCUCUUCCUAUGCUUACUCUCCUUACAACAUGGCAACUCUUCGUCCACAGCAUGGUGCACAGAUAAUUUUACAAAAACUUGGCUGUAAUUGAAUUGUUAUGUAAACAAAUCUUUGUGAAAAUAUAGUGUUUUAGUGUAUCGUCAAAGUCUGCCUGUAAUGGUACAAUUCCGAUGCAUGAAUAGUAAAUCUUGAGAUGUUUGGUGAAGUCCGAAAUAAUAUGCAGAAAUUGAGUGUCUUGAAUGGAUGUAGUAUUUAAUGGUGGACAUAGUUGAGGGACUAAUGUGGUAAUUAUCAAACAAAUAAUUGCAUAUGGUACAAAGACUUGUAUGGAAAUUAGAGCAGGGCGAGUUGAAAAUUACUACUUUGCUUCGGGCAUCAAUUUAGAAAGAUUUAAAGUACAAAUGUAUUAUUAGUUUAAGGGAUUUGUUUUAAAGAAGGAAUGACAAUUAAACCUCAUGGUUGAUGUGUGGAAGGGAACCAAUGAUGGGAUGAUUACUCUUAGUGGUAAAAAAAAAAACUAUUAAGGUGGUUAUUAUAGUUGUUAUCACCGGCCCAAAAUUCGAAUAGGUUCAGGUCGGAUUAUAUUGAGCUUGUAGAUGAGUUUGCAUGAUAAUAGGUGUUCACAGAAAGAUAUCUAUAGUUUCCUACAAAGUCACAUGUGAGAUCGUGCAUUGGGACCGCAUAAAAAUGUUUUAUGUUUAGAAUAUGAUACGUGUCUAUGUGUAUGGAAUCUACCUAAUAUAUCAUAUUAAUUAAUAGUAUCAAUUGCGGAGCCAAAAAAUUAUUUCUGAGGGGUCAGAAUUAAAUUGUAUAUUUUUACAAAAAUAAAAAUUAAAUUUCACUAUUUUAAUAGUUUAUUUCUUUUUAAUUUUUAAAUGAUUAAAUUAAAUUUUUAUAAAUUUUUGGGAUCAAAGUACAAUUUUAUCAUUUCUAAUUUAAAAUUUUAUAAAAUAUAAAAAGUUUAUAUGAAAAGUUUUCUAUUUUAGAGUGGCCAAAGCCCCUGCCAACUUCCGACUCGAUCACUAAACAAUAUAAAUAAAUAAAUACCACCAUCUAAAAGACUCAAGAAAAACACUCAACGAUAAAUAGAUAGAUGUUGGGUAAAGAUACGUUUGGAUGGGCGGUGCGUUUACUUGCGGUUAGUAUAAAAAUAGCGGUGGCGGUUAGAUUAGAUACUAUAGCAACACUGUAGCGUAAGACAAAAAAUAAGCUAAACGUACUGCACUGCACUUAAUCGCCCAUCCAAACUCACCCUAAGUGUACAAAAUAUGAUUUAAGUGAAGAUACGUAGGGUAGGUGUCAUGGAAAUGUAAAAGACAAGAAUCCCACUAAUGUAUGGGAUGUGUACAGCUGAAUGUAGGGAGCAAAGAGGAGUGAAUCAUUUUGGUAACAUUUGGACAAGAAACAUAAUGAACAAAAUGAAAGGAGAGGAAGCUAGUAAAAGAUUUUUUUGAGUUAUAUAAUUUGUUUGGCAUAUAUUUUUAUAAUUUUUAAAUAUCAUUUUGGAGUUGAAUUAUAAUUUCUUUUUAUGUUUUAAAACAUAAUUAUUCUAUCUUCAAAGGGUUAGAGUAGAGGUGAGCAUGGGUCGGGCUACUCGGCCCGAAAUGUGAGAGAUUUGGGCAAAAAUAUAGGCUCAAAAAAUGGACUUGGACAAAAAAAUAUAAGACCCGUUGAAAAAUGGGCCGGGCAUUGGGUAAGGCAUUUUUGGCCCUGGGCCCGGCCCAAUCCUAAUUCACUAAAGGACAAAAAAAAUUUGAUUUUUAAAUAUUAUUUUCUUCCUAUUUUGCUACCAUUUUACUAUUAUGUUGCUACUAUUUUGUUGUUAUUUUUUGGAUAUUGUAUAAAACUUAUUUUAUUGUUAAUUUUGUUAUUAUUUUAAAGACAUUUGUUAAUUUUGUUAUUAUUUUAGAGACAUUUGCUUGUUAAGUUGUAUCUAUCUUAGUGUUAUUUAAGUGUACAUAUUUUUUAAAAUUUAUUUUCAAUUUAUUGGGAAAUAUUUAUUUUGAUGUUUUUAGUAUUUUGGAUGUAUUAUAUAUAUUAAAAUUAUAUAAAAAUUAAUAUGGCCGAGCCGAGUCAGGCCCAGAUUUUAGCAUUUUUAUUCAGGUCGGGCUUGAGCAAAAUUUUAAGCCCAUUUUUUGGGCCAAACCAGGCCUGGGCUUAGCAAAUGGGCCUAAAUUUUUAGUCAAGCCCGACCUAAACCCGAUCCGGCCCAUGCUCACCUCUAGAUCAGAGCUGCCCUCGCUUUGCAUUUCUUUGAGAUUCAGUCUUAUCUACUGUUGAUUGCCCACUCAAUGGAGGGUUGAGUAGAAAGAUUUGGUGAAGCAAGCUAAGCUAUCAAUCAAGGUUGGAGAAAGCUUAGGAGGUCACAAUGCAUAAUUAUUUAAAUGUAAUUCUAAUAUUUAAAUAAAAUUUAUUAAUAUAGUAUUAACAAGCCCUAAAUGUAAUGAGUAUAUACUAUUACAUUUUUAAGAAGAGAAAACAUGUUUGAACCUUAAAAACAUCAUUAUUAAAAAUGAUAAUUACAAAUUUUAAAAUAUAAAAAAUAUAAUUAAAAAUUAAUUUUAAACCCGAGCUGGAUAAAAUUCUAAUUUUAGAUAACGAUACUAAUAAGAAAUCAAUAUUAAAAUGAAAAUGAAAAGUAAUUUAAUAUAAUUUUUGAGUCUUGGGCAAAGGCACUCAAUGAAUGCUUGGAAAGAAAUAAUGCAACUUGGUGAUAGCUUUUGUUGGAGUAGUAUGCUCUUAUUAUAGUUUUAUGUUUUUAUCUUGCAAAAACAACAUAUUGGAGUUUUCGGCAUGAUUUUUUCUUAAUACUUUACAUGAAAAAUAAUAAUGGGACUUAAAAAUCUAUCAAAAGCUUCACCAUAAUAAUAAUAAUAAUAAUAAUAAUAAUAAAUUGCUACAAUAUUACAACACAAAGUUACAAUAAGAGCUUAUAACUCAACAAAGGUUAUCAAUAAAUAAUCUCAGGCAAGCUAAAGAGAAAUGUUGAGAAUACCACCCGAAUAGUGACUGACUUUAAAAGUUGAAAACCCGAAGCUAUAGUAUCUCAAACGAAAUCAAACCAUUAACAUUAAAAUUUUCAAGUCUACUAGCUACUGUAAAAAAUGCAGCUCCAACAUACACCAAAUGAGUCUUUGAUCGAAGAAAGUACAAAAACUAGUCUGGGUAAACCAAGCUGCCAAACUUACUUAUCUUAUCUUUAAUUUUGCAGUGAAAUUAAAAAUUAAGUUUUUGUUUAUUUCACUUGGAACAACUUUCAAAAAAUUAUUUUUGAAAAAUGGAUUGGUUUUUCGAAAUAGAUGAUAUUUUAUUGUGUUAAAAUUUUAUUCGUUGUUGGAAAACUUUUUUUAAAUCAUUUUCUUAAAGUUAUUUUUAGUGAAACAAACAUAACAUAAAUAUAUUUGUUACAAAAAAAUUAUAUUAGUAUUUUCUUUUGACAAUUAAAAUUUAUUUUAUGAUAAGACAAUAUUUUGUAAUAAUUAAUAUCAUAUAUAUAUACGUAAUAAAAAAAUCUUGUUUAAUUAAAAUUUAAUUAAAAUUAAAUAUAUUAAUAAAGCUACAUAUAAUCAUAUUUUUUAUAAUUAAAAUAUUAAUAUAAAUAUUUUUCAAUAAUAUAUUAAAAUAUUAAAAUUUAAAUUAUUAUUACUUAAAUUAAUUAUUAAAAUAAAAAAUUUAAUAUUAAAUAAUUUAUUCAAUGAUAAGUUUUAUUAAUAAUUUAUUGUAUUAUUAAAUAUAAUUAAUUAAAUAUGCAUAUUUAAUAAUAUUACGUUAUAAUAUUUUAAUAUUCUUAAACAGCCAUGUUUUUAAGAUGCUGGUGAUGGUGAUGCUGCGGGCCUCUCUUGUUACAAUUACUAUAAUUUUUUGUGCAAUAAUUGAAGUUGUUGGGUGGUCAAGCAAACCUCUUUUGACUGAGAUGCAUAUAAUAUACCCGCAUGUCCCCGCCUCCUAAAAUUUAAAUUUGUUAUUUGAAUCUUUAAAUUUUUUAAUAUAAUAUACCCGCAUGUCCCCGCCUCCUAAAAUUUAAAUUUGUUAUUUGAAUCUUUAAAUUUUUUAAAAAUUUUAAAUUCAUAAAAGUAAAAUUAUACUUUGACCCUCUAAAAUUAUAAAAAUUUAAUUAAUCUUUUAAAUUCAUUGGGCCCCUAAUAUAUUGUUCAGGCUUCACCCUUGAUACUGAUGUUGACUAUUUUAGAGUAUGUGUCUUCUUUAACAGGGUUAAAUUAUAUAUUUAUAUAAUAUAGUUAUUGUUUAUGGACGUGACAUCGUAACUAGGUUCUUAUGCAUGUCAACAUAUAUCCUAUUUUAAGGUUAACACGUAUUUUUAAAUGUGAAUUCACCUAUAUAAUGGUAUGAACCAUCAUGCAGUCUCAUAAAAUAUGCGAAUAUAUGUCGUGCGAACACAAAGUACAAUCCACACAGAAUACGAAUUAAGACCCAAUUGAAUAAUCGGAUACGAAUCAGUAAUAAUGAAUUUCAUAACAGCCACCAACCCCUCUUUUGUUUUAAUUUAUUUUAUUUCCAGUAAGUUAUUGUUUGUGAGAAUUCACAACAAAUGCUUUUGUCAUUAUUUUGUUGGUAAAUAAUAAUAAGAUUAAACUUUACUUUCUUAAGCUCCUUCAAUUCUUUGGAAGUUGGUGGUUUUUUAUUCUAAUCUUAUUUUUUUUAUUAAUUUCUUUUUUUAUAAUAAAUGUGUUUAUAGAUCAGGUUGGAUUAUAAUUGAAUCAUUGUCUGGUAUUAACAUAAUUUAAAUCGAUUAAAAUUUAUUCGACUGGAAAUAUAAAUUUAAAAUUUUACUUCAAUUUAUCUUAAUUUAUAAAUUGUGAAUUUAAAUUUAUUUAUUUUCUCUCAUUAUAUUCAGUUUUUCGGAUCAUAUUUGGCCCAGAACAAAAACUAGAACAAAAAAACAAAUAUAUAUGUUUUCCAAAAAUUAAAUUGUUAACUUUAAAAAAAUAUAUUUUUAGCUAUUUAUCAUCAUAGAGAAAAACAAAUAAGGUCACCUCGCCUUAUGCUUCAACACCUCAACCUAGAUUCUCAUCACCUGUAUUUAUCAUCGAUUCAGAUUUUUAUUUUUACUAUAUUCUAGAUCUACCUAUAAAUAUAUCUUCAAACUUCCUCUGGUUAAGUUCAUUCAUAGAUAGGUGAGUAAACUUGAGCUUCAGCUUCAACAAACACCUUAGUUUGCAAUUCUCUCAUACUAAAAAUAUGGAAGUUUACCAUGUAAUUAGAGAUUUGGUCUCAUUGCUUGUUGUUGGUUUAUUAAUGAUAUGGGGAUGGAGAGCUUUAAACUGGGUAUGGUUGGCCCCAAAGAGGCUCGAAAGGUGCUUGAGACAACAGGGUUUUGCAGGGAAUCCUUACAGGUUCCUUUCUGGUGACAUAAAAGAGCUCUUAACUAUGAGCAGACAAACAAGAGCCAAACCUAUGCCUCUUAGUGAUGAUAUUGGGCCUUAUGUUGCUCCUUUUCUUCAUCAAACUGUCAACCAGUAUGGUAUGUUUAAUUAUUAUUUAAUCUUCAAUUUAUGAUAAUUCUUUGUUAUUUAUGAAUGGAAUUUAUUGGGAGGAAAUGCAGGAAAGAAUUCAUUUACGUGGAUUGGUCCAAGACAAAGGGUGAACAUUAUGGACCCUGAAAAAAUAAGAGAAAUAUUUACCAAAUUUAAUGACUUCCAGAAGGUGCGUACCAAUCCACUGCUUACUUUGCUUGUAAGCGGCCUUGUUAACCUCGAAGGAGACCGAUGGAGCAAACAUAGAAAAAUCAUAAACCCUUCAUUUCAUCAAGAUAAGUUGAAGGUAUAGAAUAGUGAUGGGUACUUAAGACUUAAUUUACAGAAAACAUGAUACUUAAAUCUAUGCUUUUCUGAUUUAGAAAUGAUUGGAUGCAGAAUAUGUUGCCAGCAUUUUAUCAAAGUUGUUGUGACAUGUUAAGCAAAUGGGAGAAGAUGGUGUGUACAGAAGGAUACAGUGAGUUAGAUGUGUGGCCUUAUCUUGUAGAUUUGACAAGAGAUGUGAUUUCCCGAUCUGCUUUUGGAAGCAGCUUCGAAGAAGGCAGACGAAUUUUCCAAUUACUAGAUGACCAACUCGUUCUCAGAAUCAAAUUACUACAAACUGUUUACAUUCCAGGAUGGAGGUAACCCUCAAUUUACUUGAAAAAGGUUGCAAAUGUUGGAAUUGGCUAAAUUCGUGUUUGUUUCCUUGAAGGUUUUUGCCCACAAAGACAAACAGGGAGGUGAAGAUGAAACACAAAGACAUAAAAGAGUCGCUCAGGGAAAUGAUAAAAAGAAGAGAGCAGGCAAUUAAAGCAGGGGAAGAGAGCAAUGAGGACUUGUUGGACAUACUUGUGGAAUCCAAUAUCAGAGAAAUGGAAGCAAAGAAAAAGGGGAUGAGCAUUGAGGAUGUGAUUGAGGAAUGCAAGCUGUUUUACUUUGCUGGCCAGGAGACCACUUCGGUCUUACUGGUGUGGACUAUGGUUUUAUUAGCAAGGUAUCCCGAUUGGCAAAGUAAAGCAAGAGAGGAGGUUUUGCAUGUUUUGGGUGACAGUAAACCUGAUGCUGAUGGCCUUAAUCGCCUCAAAGUUGUAAGUCCCUAGCAUGUCUUUUGAAGGUCCGAUCAAUAAGGUCGACAACUCAAAAAUUUGGUUUCUUUUUUCGCUAAUUCUACAGUUAACAAUGAUAUUGUACGAGGUUCUAAGGCUGUACCCAUCAGCGACUGAGCUAGGACGUUCCGUUCCAAAAGAAAUAAAACUGGGAAAUUUGUUGUUACCAGCAGGAACAGAAAUUUCGGUUCCGAUCCUGCUGAUCCACCAU
rnacentral:lncRNA from 1 species